CUACGGGAGGCUGCAGUGGGGAAUAUUGGACAAUGGAGGAAACUCUGAUGCAGCAACGCCGCGUGGAGGAUGACACUUUUCGGAGCGUAAACUCCUUUUAUAUAGGAAGAAGAUGACGGUACUAUAUGAAUAAGCGCCGGCUAACUCCGUGCCAGCAGCCGCGGUAAUACGGAGGGCGCAAGCGUUACUCGGAAUCACUGGGCGUGAAGAGCGUGUAGGCGGAUUAAAAAGUCAGAAGUGAGAUCCUAUAGCUUAACUAUAGAACUGCUUCUGAAACUCUUAAUCUAGAAUAUGGGAGAGGUAGAUGGAAUUCCUGGUGUAGGGGUAAAAUCCGUAGAGAUCAGAAGGAAUACCGAUUGCGAAGGCGAUCUACUAGAACAUUAUUGACGCUGAGACGCGAAAGCGUGGGGAGCAAACAGGAUUAGAUACCCCCGUAGUC
rnacentral:rRNA from 1 species